UAGUAUGGCGCAGGUGCGAAUCGCCCUUAAGUUGAUCCUGGUCAGGACUACGCUGACGGUAUGCUUAUACAUGCAGUCGAACGGUAAGGCCUCUUCGGAGGUACACGAGUGGCGGACGGGUGAGUAACACGUAGGAAUCUGCCCCAGAGUGGGGGACAACUGGAAGAAAUCCAGCUAAUACCCCAUAUGAAGCAAUUUGAAAGACUUCGGUCGCUUUGGGAGGAGCCUGCGCUUGAUUAGUUUGUUGGUGUGGUAAAAGCGCACCAAGACUACGAUCAAUAGCUGGUCUGAGAGGAUGAUCAGCCGCAAUGGGACUGAGAUACGGCCCAUACUCCUACGGGAGGCAGCAGUAGGGAAUCUUGCGCAAUGGACGAAAGUCUGACGCAGCAAUACCGUGUGUGGGAAGACGCUUUGUGGAGUGUAAACCACUGUCAGAAGGGACGAAUUUGACUGUACCUUCAAAGGAAGCACCGGCUAACUCCGUGCCAGCAGCCGCGGUAAUACGGGGGGUGCUAG
rnacentral:rRNA from 1 species